rnacentral:rRNA from 1 species
CUAAGUGCGGAUCGGAUAAACGCUGAAAGCAUCUAAGCGUGAAGCCGACUCCAAGAUGAGAUAUCCCUCAGCGCAAGCUGGAAAGGCCCCUUGAAGACUACAAGGUUGAUAGGCUGCGUGUGUAAGCACGGCAACGUGUUCAGCUUGGCAGUACUAAUAGGCCGAGAGCUUGACCAA